rnacentral:rRNA from 1 species
CCUACGGGCGGCAGCAGUGAGGAAUAUUGGUCAAUGGACGGAAGUCUGAACCAGCCAUGCCGCGUGCAGGAUGACGGCUCUAUGAGUUGUAAACUGCUUUUGUAUUAGGGUAAACACCCCUACGUGUAGGGGCUUGAAAGUAUAAUACGAAUAAGGAUCGGCCAACUCCGGGCCAGCAGCCGCGGUAAAACGGAGGGUGAGAGCGUUAAUCGGAAUUACUGGGCGUAAAGCGCUCGUAGGCGGUAAGGCAAGUAAAGGGUGAAAUCCCCGCGCUCAACGUGGGAACUGCCUUUGAAACUGGCAAACUGGAGUGUGUGAGAGGAUAGUGGAAUUCCAGGUGUAGGAGUGAAAUCCGUAGAUAUCUGGAGGAACAUCAGUGGCGAAGGCGACUAUCUGGCACAUAACUGACGCUGAGGAGCGAAAGCGUGGGUAGCAAACAGGAUUAGAUACCCGUGUAGUC